rnacentral:rRNA from 1 species
AGAGUUUGAUCCUGGCUCAGGACGAACGCUGGCGGUGUGCCUCACACAUGCAAGUCGAACGAGGUAGCAAUACCUAGUGGCGGACGGGUGAGUAACACGUGGGAAUCUGCCCUUAGAUGGGGGAUAGCAGACCGAAAGGUCUAUUAAUACCCCAUAUGUGUAUGUCUCGACAGGGAUAUACAUGAAAGGAGUAAUCCGUC